GUGCUGGCUUUUGCAGUAUAUUCAUUCAAAUUGGAAUGAUGAGAAUCACAUGACCACUGUACAAGGAUGAUAUGCAAAUUCAUACAGUAUUCUGUAUUGAG
rnacentral:snRNA from 1 species